rnacentral:lncRNA from 1 species
UUGUCGACGAAAGCUAGUCGGCAGUCUACCUUGGGGUAUACCCUCGGCAGUAGUUUAUCGGUAGAUGGUGCGCAAACUACGAACUCGAUGGUGACGCAAGACACGGACAAGCUUUUUAUCCAGGUUCGGCCGCCGAGUUGGCGUAAUACCUACGUCCUGCGUCUGGUUGUAUUGAUUUGUGCUGAGAGGAUCUGAUGUCUUAGGGGGGUCCCUUGCCCCUCCUUAUAUAGUCCGGAGGGCAGGGCUACAGAGCUAGAAACUAAUCCUAGUCGGUUACAACUGCCGUAGAUAAUUCGAUAUCAAUUCCUAUUCUAACUGACUAGAAUCCUGCUUGAUCUCCACGUCUUGUUUCCUUGCGCGAAACUCGGGCUGUCGGAUCAAGCCUUGAACUCGUCUCGUAGUGGGCCAAGCUUCCUGGCUGAAGUCUAGCCGUAAGGGUAUAGGGGUUUAUACACCCACAGCUAGUCCCCGAGCGCCAUGUAUUGUGAUGCAACACGCCGUCUUGAGCUUCUUCGAUUAGCGAGGCUUGUCGUCUUCAAUAAGCGGGGAAAUCGCCCAAACAGUUGCAACGGUUCCUUGACCAACUCGAAAGACAGUUGAUCAACGUUGACAUCGAAGAAGCAGGUUGUUCGAAGAAUGCAUGGUGCUCUAAAAAAAAUUUCUUUCCUGGUGAAGUGUGCCCACUUUGCCUUUUCGAAAGGUAGAAGCAUCAAAAAAGCAAGCAAAUUCACCGCUAGGUGAAGUGUGCCCACUUAGUCCCCGAGCCUGGUAGUAGGUGGCGUAGGCACGUGGUGCCAGGGUCAAAAGAAAAUUCCCCAAAGUAGUUUUGAGACUGAGAUGCAUCGCUAGAUGCAUCGUACCGAUGUAGUCCCCGAGCUUGCUGGAAGGCGAAGUAUGAGCCUUGUAGCAAGGUCUAAAAAAUUGAAUUUACCAGUCCCCGAGCAUGUCAUGCUCGUCUGCAAUCGAAAAGACCAAUCGACCAGUCCCCAGGCACUUAGUGUGCUUCUUGGAAUUAUAUGUUGCUAUACUGUACGACCAGUCCCCGAGCAUCGAGUGCUCAGUGGUCGGUGCAUGCUUUAAAGUUUUGAGCUGAUAGACUGGGCAACCAGUCCCCGAGCGUCGAGUGCUCGGUGGUCGGUGCCGUCCUUGAAGUUCCGAGCUGAUAGACUGGGCGACCAGUCCCCGAGCGUCGAGUGCUCGGUGGUCGGUGCAGUCCUUGAAGUUCCGAGCUGAUAGACUGGGCAACCAGUCCCCGAGCGUCGAGUGCUCGGUGGUCGGUGCAGUCCCCGGAUUGCUGACUCACUGGCGUAUGUGUCUUCUUACUUUUGAAAAGAUCUUUCCAAUUAAAGUUGACGUGACGGGGUCUCCUGACGAUAUGUCAGGCGGAUGCAUGAAAAGCUGCACCUGGCAACUGUACAACCGCUCUUUGCAUGGUUUGAGAAAAGGAAACCAUCAAUUGGUACGAAAACUCCGCCGCAUUAAUUGUCUAUAAUCAUUGUAAACCGAAACGCCGCGUCCGCCGCAUGGCCUGCCCACUUCCCGAGAAUACAGGAAGUGGGAGAGGUGGGGUCGCGGGUUUAUAAGGGCCUAAUAGGACCGCCUGUACCGCUUCUCCUGCCAUUGCCUUCAAACCUUCCGCUCUCAUCUUCUCCAAUCUCCUGCAUCUUCCUAACUCCAGCCCACAUUCGCACCUCUAAUGGCGAAGAGCGACUCCAGGAAGAGGGCCGAACUGAUGGCCAAGGAGUGGAAGAAGUCUCGCAGCACCACAAAAUCUCUUGGUGACCUCGUCGAUAUGGGGCUUCUGCACGGCGCAGAGCUCGGCGGCUGGAGGGCACCGGAGGGGGAGAGCUACCCCGACCCUCGCGCCGGUGAGAUCGUCGUUUUUGAAGAUUUCGUUAAGAGAGGUUUUGGUGUUCCUGUCCAUCCUUUUCUUCAAGGUCUUCUUUUGUACUAUGAGAUCGGGAUUUGCAAUCUGCACCCGAACUAAAUUCUCCUUAUUUCCACCUUCAUCCACCUGUGCGAGGCCUAUGUUGGCAUAGAGCCGCACUUCGAUCUUUUUCGGUAUCUUUUCUGUCUGAGGAAGAAGGGAGCAGUUGGAGGCUCCAAGGUUGCAGGUGGAGUAUACCUCAACCUUCGUGAUGGGAUGAAGAAUCGCUACCUGCACUGCCCAUGGAACACUUCCUUGACCGAAUGGUACAGGAAGUGGUUCUACAUAAGGGAGGAACCGGGCAGCUCCACGUUUUGCGACGUGGGAUACGUUCCCGAGAAGAGGGCGAGCUGGACCGACCGUCCGGAGUUCGAUGGUCCAGUGGCGGAUCUCAUGAAGCUGAUCGACUGGUCGCGCCUAGACGGGCUUGGCGUGGUCGGCAACUUCAUUUGCCGCCGGGUGAUGCCCUGCCAGAAGAGGGUGCACUCGGCGUACGAGUAUGCCGGAAGCGCAGACCCGACCAGGAUGCGGUCGGAGAUCUUGGAGAAAGCGGAGGUACAACAGCUAUUGAACGAGCUGUUUAACUUCGCGGAUGGGGGCUUCAUCCGUGGUAGUGAUCGGGUGCAAGCCUUCAAGUUAGGACGACCAGCACCAAAGGUAUGUAGCAGAGUCUGUUUGAUCAUUCGUAUAUCGUCUGCAGUUAACUCAUCUCUGUUGCUUUUGCAGGUCGGUGAUGUCGACCGGUGCGCAGUGUAUGUAUCACUGGCACCGGGGAUGGAAGAUCCUGUGGGAGAGGUCCCGCCAGAGGAGGACGCUGCUCGGUGUACUCAUUACACCAGCAGUGAGGAAGACCGAGCCCGCCCCGUCCCGACCUCCGAGGAGAGGGUAGCGGGGAAAAGGCCAUUGCCGACAGAUCCCUUGCCGACACCGGAGCUGCCGGCAGAUCUACCGGCGGAGAGCAGCCAAGCGCCGAAGCGUCGUCGGCUCGUGCGGAUCGUCGACGACGACGACGACGAGGAGGCUGCGCCGUCGUUGGUCCGACGGCCUCGGAGCCGCCCAGACACUGCGCCGGUCGCCACUGAUCAAGUGGCCAGCGGCGCCGCUGCCCCGCAAGGUGUCGAGACGGGAGCACAGGUGCCGACCGGAUGGGCGAGGAGGAGGUUCACCGCGACCCACCGUCGGUCAGACCUGUAAGUGUUCGACUUACGUAUUUUGGACUCCUCUUUUUUUUUUAACUUUUGUUCCUGUAGUGCGGCAUCGGAUGUCGACCCUGGUCAAACUGCCAGCCAGGGAACGGGCGAGCCUGCCCGCGGUUCUGGGGAUGCGGCCCCCCAGACCACAGAGCAGCCAACAGCUGCAGUCGCGCCUGGGAGCACCGAGGGGCUCCCGAGCGCGGCGCCGACUACAACAAGCAGCCCGACCAGGGCUGGAGAGGCUCCCCCAACUGACUCCUCGGAGAAGGGAAGAUCUCCGACCGCUCCUCCUGCCAGGGGGAGUGAAGUCCCCCCGCCGCCCCGAGCAGGAGCCUCUUCGGCUGCGGGCUCCCCAGGUCUGGUCCAAGGGCCAGUAAUGCCUGGGACCACCACCGGGGGUGACGCAGCACAGGAGGAGGAAACCCGGGCGGCCUCCGACGACGAGGUGGAGGAGAUCGAGGGUCGUCCCCGUGAUGGCCGCCAACAUGUGUAUGUGUGGCGCCAACGCGGGGAUCACUUUAUCGGUCAUGAGGAGGUCGCCGAGACCGAAGAGGCCGCCAGGGUGGAGCGCGCGGCCAAGCGCCUUGUCGACGAAGUCAAGGUAAGCGGCUUUUUGUACUGCUGCGCAUUCUUUUGCCUUGUCUUGCUUGAUCGUUAUAUGCUUGCUUUGUAGGACGUAAUGAAAACGGCGAAGUACCGGAAACGGUGCUUUGACCAGAUAGAAGGCGUCAUGGCCGAGAACAAGGCCCUUGCCGCGGAGGUAGACCGGUUGCGGGCGGAGGUCGGGGAGAAGGUGGUCGAGAUGAGCGCCGAAAAGGAGCGUCGUCUCGACCUCGCUCGUCGUCUGGCCGACCAGUACCGGCUGCAGGAAGGUUAGUCACACGCUCCGAGCAGUUUCGCAUACUUGUAUAGUUUGCUUUGCUGACCAGUUUAGGAUUCACGCAGACUUGGAGGAGGAGGUGGCGAGCCUCCAACAAGAGAAGGAGCAGCUCAGCCAACAGCUCGCCGGUGCUCAGGAGUCCGGGCGGCGAGCGGAAGAGGAAUUGGGUCGAAAAGACCGGGAGUUAGCUGGUAAUGGGUGCCGCCUUGUUGGUUGCUGCCUGCCCCUUUGCUUGUCUGGUAUGCCGAAAGUAACGUUUCGUUUCGUUUGCAGAGCUCAAGGUGAACACCAAAAAGCACCUGGACGAGCUGAUCAAGGACCGGGACUCCUGGAAGGCCAACUAUUGCAGGAUCUGGAAAGGAGUGUCCCCGGUCCUAGAUCUGCUCAGCCCCGAACUCCCGGAGAGCCAGCCCCGCGCGCCGCAGUUGACCCCGGUCGAGAAGGCGCAACGGGCGUGGGACUGGCUCCAGCAGUUUGUGAAGGACGCCGGGGAGUUUGCCGGCGCGCACAUCCUCAGCAUGGUGCGCGCCCACUACCCCCUGGUCGACUUGAGCAGGCUGGAGAAGGGGUACCCGAAGGAAGUCGGCCCACAGGAAGCGGACGAACUUCGGGGUAGUCUGCUAGACUUGUCGUCGACGGUGAUCGGCGACAUCAAUCUGUGCGGAACGGCCACUCCUCCAGACCAGCCGAGCUCAGAUAGGUCGGCCAGGGAGUUGUCGGGCGCGUCCGUUGCGGGAGAUGGGCGGUCGACGCCUGCGGUCUCGACCAGCCAGGCGCCGGUGGCCCCGACCCCUUCGUCCGGGCAGCAGGGCCAGGCGGGUGAUCAGCCCGAGCAACUAGGCCAAUAAAGUAGUCUGUAGGAAUAGACUAGUGUUUGCCCGUCAGGGUAUUUAUUGUAAACUUUGUAUGUAAAGUUUGUAAUAAAGUUUGCUUUUUGUCAUGACUGUUGUUUUGAGCGCUGUAAGAAUAUCUGAGUGACGUGUCACCGCAUUUGUCUUGGUUGUCGCUAAGAGCAUCCGUUGCAGGAGUUUUGCCAAGUGCUGUAUGUGACAAGGUAUGGGCCAAAAAUAGAGAAUUUCAUUAUCAAAAAUUAUAAGAUACUUACAAAAGAAAGUCAUUAAAACUUUAUGGAUAGAAACGUCGCAGUUUGUCGAUGUGCCAAGAAUUAGGCACUCGUGUUCCGUCUGGGUAUGCCAAUCUGUAGGACGUAGGUCGUGUGACCUCGGUCACCACGAAGGGUCCUUCCCAGGGGGUGGAUAGCUUGUGCAUUCCCUCCUGGCUUGUUUUCCAUCGAAGCACCAGAUCGCCGACCACGAAGGAACGGUCCUUGACGUUCCUGUUGUAGUAUCGCCUGACUGCUGCGAGAUAUUUUGCUGUUCGGAGACACGAAACUAAACGCUUCUCCUCCAUGCAAUUGAUUUCGAGUUCUCUGGCAUUGUCGGAGGUCGCCUGGUCGAAGUGCUCGAUUCUAGGAGAUCCGAAGUGUAUGUCAGACGGCAAGACCGCCUCUGCGCCGUACACCAUGAAGUAGGGAGACACCCCUGUGUUUCGACUGGUCUGAGUUCGGAGGCCCCAGACCACUGCCGGCAAUUCUUUCAUCCAUCGACCGGGUGCUCUGUCGUUCUCGGUGUACAACCUUUUCUUUAGGGCGUCGACGAUCAUUCCGUUAGCACGUUCAACUUGACCGUUGGCACGUGGAUGUGCCACUGACACAUAUUUUAUGACUAUGCCUCUGUCAUCGCAGAAAUCCCAAAAAGUGGUGCCAGUAAACUGAGUGCCCAGGUCGGUGAUUAUGCUGUUCGGGGUGCCGAAUCUGUGUAUGAUUUGAUUGAGGAACUCCACAGCCUUCUCGGAGGUUGCCUUGACCAGGGGCAUGUAUUCAAUCCACUUGGAGAACUUGUCGAUUAACACGAAGACAAACUUGAAGUUGCCCGGGGCUGGUUUAAAUGGUCCGAUCAUGUCAAGCCCCCAGCAAGCAAAGGGCCAAGACGACGGGAUGGUUUGAAUUUCAUGGGCAGGUACGUGGGUCCUCUUAGCGAAAAACUGACAUCCUUGGCAAUGCCGAACCAGUUUUUCUGCGUCGCUGACCGCGGUUGGCCAAUAAAAACCUGCUCGGAAAGCCUUUCCGACCAGCGUUCUAGAUGCGGCGUGGUUGCCGCAGGAUCCGGCGUGUAUGUCCUCCAAGAGCUUGAUACCAUCGUCUUGGGGUAUGCACUUGAGCAGUACCUCGGAGCUUGCGUUUUUCCGCAUGAGUUUUCCGUCGACCAGGAUGUAGUUCUUUGAUCGUCGGAUGAGACGCUCGUUCUCUGUUUUGUCCUGAAAACCUGUCCCGUCUGAGAUGUAUUUGAUGAACGGGAUACGCCAGUCACGCCCACCGGUUGUCGGAGUGGCGUCAUCUAUGAGCAUUGCCUCGGUGGGUUGCUUGGCGACCAGGGGGGAGCUUACGCUCGGCUCAUGGAUGUCCUGGACGAAAAUACCCCGCGGGAUUUGGGCCCGAGACGAGCCUAACUUUGACAACGCAUCUGCUGCUUGGUUCUUAUCCCGGACCACGUGGAUGUACUCUAUGCCAUAGAAGUUAGUUUCCCAUUUGCGAAUUUCUUUGCAGUAGAGAUCCAUCUUUUCGUGGGUUGCGUCCCACUCCUUGUUGAGCUGGUUGAUGACCAAAGCGGAGUCGCCGUAGACAUAGAGGCGCUUGACCCCCAGUUCGACGGCUAGUCGUACGCCAUGUAAGCAAGCUUCGUAUUCGGCGACAUUGUUUGACGCCGGAAAAAGGAUCCGAAGGACGUAGCGGAGUUUGUCCUUGUUUGGUGAUACGAACAAUAUCCCAGCGCCUGCACCGUUGAUGUUCAAGGACCCAUCAAAGAACAUUGACCAGUGGUCUGAGACAUCUGGAACGGAAGGCUCGUUGAGAUCCGUCCAUUCGGCAAUGAAAUCGACCAGGGCUUGAGACUUGACAGUGGUGCGACUCUGGAACUCUAGAGAAAAUGGACAUAAUUCCAUUGCCCAUUUCACGAUUCUGCCAUUGGCGUCUUUAUUGCGCAGGAUGUCCCCGAGAGGAAAACUGGUUGUCACCAGGACUCGAUGGCCGUCGAAGUAGUGCUUCAGCUUUCUUGACGUUAUCAGGAUGGCGUAUAUAAGCUUCUGUAUUUGUGGGUACCUGGCCUUGGAUUCGUUUAAAACUUCACUUAUGAAGUAAACGGGUCUCUGGACCUUGAAGACGUGACCUGGUUCAUCUCGCUCGACCACUAUUGCCGUGGAAACAACCCUGUCGGUUGCAGCAAUGUAAAGGAGCAGGUCUUCAUUGGGCUGAGGCGCUGUGAGGACAGGCGGUGAAGUGAGGAAGGUCUUAAGCUGAGUGAACGCAGCGUCGGCUUCUUCUGUCCAGGAGAAUUUUUCUGACGCUUUCAAUAGUUUGAAGAAAGGGAGGCCUUUUUCUCCCAGCCUUGAGAUGAAACGACUGAGGGCGGCCAUGCAUCCGGUUAGCUUCUGAAUAUCCUUGACGUUCUUCGGUGGUCGCAUGUCGAGUACGGCUUUGACUUUUGAAGGGUUUGGUCGUAUGCCGUCGCAACUGACGACGUUGCCGAGCAGUAGACCGGAAGGAACGCCGAAAAUGCAUUUCUUGGGGUUGAGCUUCCACUUGUACCUAUUGAGUGCCUUGAAGGUUCGGUCUAAGUUGUCGAUUAGGGUGCUCGCGUCCCUUGUUUUUACGACCACGUCGUCCACAUAGGCCUCGACGAGGUCAUCGCGAAUCUCGUCGUGGAGGCAUUGCUGGAUGGCCCUUUGAUAAGUGGCCCUGGCGUUUUUAAGUCCGAAAGACAUGGUAGUGUAACAGUAUGCGCCGAAGGGUGUGAUGAAGGAUGUUUUGAUCUGAUCUUCUUCCUUUAACGAGAUCUGGUGAUAACCAGAGUAGCAAUCUAGAAAGGAGAGGAGUUCGCAUCCGGCCGUAGAGUCGACCACCUCGUCGAUGCGAGAAAGACCAAAAGGAUCUUUAGGACAGUGUUUGUUGAGAUCGGUGUAAUCAACGCACAUUCUCCAUUCAUUAUUCUUUUUGCGUACAAGAACCGGAUUGGCGAGCCAAUCGGGAUGAUACACCUCUUUUAUGAAUCCGGCUGCUAGAAGCCGUGUUAUUUCUGUCCUAAUAGCCUCCUUUUUGUCACGAGCGAACCGUCGCAGUUUUUGCUUGAUUGGUCUUGCGGUCUUUGAGACGUUUAAGGAGUGCUCGAUCAGGUUUCGUGGGACACCGGGCAUGUCUGCGGGUUUCCAUGCGAAAAUGCUCACGUUUUCCCUUAGAAACCUGACGAGCGCGUCUUCCUAUUUUGGAUCCAGGUUAGCCCCGAUGAGGGCUGUCUUCUCGGGGUUGCCUUCGACCAGCUGCACUUCUUUGUACUCCUUGGAUUUCGAAUUUUUUCUGGCUGUCUCCUGCUCAGGUAAUCGGAGCUGGUCGGGGGGCAGCUGUGCGGCUUGGUUUGCUGUUUCCGCCAUGCGGAUUGAGAGGUCAAUUGCCUCGGUGAUCUUGAAACUUUCUUCCUCGCAGGUGUACGCAGUGUAGACGUUGCCUCUGACGGUCAGGACACCCUUCUCCGUGGGCAUCUUAAGCACUAGGUAUGAGUAGUGCGGGACUGCCAUGAACUUUGUCAGCGAUGGGCGGCCCAGUAUGGCGUGGUAGGUCCCGUCGAAGUCCGCAACUACGAAGUUGAUGAACUCCGUCCGGAAGUGAUCGGGUGUGCCGAAUUGGACAGGCAAUGUUAUCUGUCCGAGGGGCACCGAACUUUGACCCGGCAAAACCCCCCAGAAUUGGGCGUCGUAAGGUUUUAGUUGCGCCGGUGAUAUCUUGAGGGCGGGCAGGCUGUUGCGGAAGAGGAUGUCGAUGGAGCUUCCCCCAUCCACGAGCACGCGCUCGAAUCUAAUGCUAUUGAUGCAGGGAUCAAGAAUUAGUGGGAAACGACCCGGCUCUGGGAUAGCGGCCCACUGGUCCUUCCUGCUGAACGCGAUCUCCCUGUGGGACCAGGCGGGAAAUUUCGGAUCUGCGAUCAGCCCGUCCGUGCUGUCUAUGUUGAGGCAGGCUCUCUUUAACAGCUUUCUUUCUCGCUUGGACUCAGUGGAGACCUUGCCCCCGAAAAUGGAGUGGACCACGUCGGUGGGGCUGACGUAUUGGUGUCGGGGGUCCCUGUCUUGGUCCUCAUCCUCGUCUUCGUGGUCGUGCCCGUCGCGUUUGUUACUUUUCUUGGCGGUGUCUUCUUGGGCGGCCCGCUGUGUAUAGAUACUUUUGAGGACGCGGCACUCUUCCAUGGUAUGGUUAGACUUUGGGUGUAGCUGGCACGGUCCCUUCAACGUUUUGUUGUAGUCGUCUUGGUAGUCCCGUCGUCCAUUGGGACGUUUGACCGUGUUUACUUCGUGGUCGUAUUCGCGAGGGCGCUUUCCUCUGANNNNNNNNNNNNNNNNNNNNNNNNNNNNNNNNNNNNNNNNNNNNNNNNNNNNNNNNNNNNNNNNNNNNNNNNNNNNNNNNNNNNNNNNNNNNNNNNNNNNGCGGUUGUCGGAGCGGCGGUGAUUUCUGUUGUCGUAGCGACCACGACCGUCAUCUCGCUGGGAGGGCUGGUCGGUGCCUCUCGCAUCGUCUCGGAUUAGUUUUUCUGCGUCAUCAGCAUCGGCAUAAUUUUUAGCCGUGGCUAGGAGCUCUGCUACCGUUGAUGGGCGCUUACGCAACAGCUUGUUCCUCAGCGCUUCAUGGAAACGCAAGCCCUUGAUAAAGGCUGAUAUGGCCUCGUCAUGAGAAAUCUUCGGGAUUUUGAGGCGCAUAUCCGAGAAUCGUCAGAUGUAAUCGCGCAGAGGUUCAUUCUUCCUGUCUCUUAUCCUUUCAAGGUCAUACUUGUUUCCGGGCUGCUCGCAUGUGGCGAUGAAGUUGUCGAUGAAAGCCUGUCGUAGCUCUUCCCAAGAGUCGAAGGAGUCCUCGGGCAAGCCGAGAAGCCACUGAUGACCAGCCUGGUCGAGGACUACGGGAAAGUAGUUAGCCAUGACGUGCUCAUCUCCUGCCGCUGAUCGGACGGCGAUUUCGUAGAGGGUGAUCCAGUUCUCUGGAUUUUCCUUGCCGUCGUAUUUUUUAAGUUUUUCGAGCUUGAAAUUGCGGGGCCACACGACCUGGCGGAGGUGUGAGGAGAACUGCCUUAGGCCCGGAGGACCAUGGGUCGCGUCGUACUCGAUGCGGCGCAGGUUUUCGUGGACUGCUCUCUCUGCGGCGCGCCUGUUGAUGCGGUCCCGGGCAUCUUUGGGAGGGAUGUUGUGGCGGAGAUCCCUGUGUUGUUCUUCUUCUUCUUGGUCGCGUACACGGUUCUGCUGGCGGCGGCCAUCGGCGUCCCGACCACCAUCGUCGCGCCGUGAGUCCCCUCGACGGUUGUCGGGAGAGUGGCUGCGACGACGCCUGCUGGGUGAGGCCCGGCUACGAUGAGUCUGGUCGGAGGCGGCUUCCGUAUAAGAGACGUCCUGGACUCUCUUGAGCAGAGUGGCUGUCUGUCCCAUCGCGGCGAUCAGGUGUGCUCGGAUACUGGUCCGGACUCCCUGGCAUUCGGGGGUGUCAGGAAGCCGAUCCAGGUUGGCCAUGGCGACAGCCACGUUGGCGCUUGGCGUUUUGUAGACCGGCUGGUCCCCGACCAUGUCAAAGGCAUCGUUGAGGUUACCUGGUGGCGUCUGUUGUUGCUCAUCCGCACGCCGUCGGGCGCGAUCGGCGUUACGCUGUUCGCGGAGUUGCCUCUGGUCGUCUGUUUCUCCGUCAACAGCCGGUUCGUCGGCGCUGACAUUGAAUACAAUAUCCCCUCGCCGGGGGGGGGGGAAUAUCGGGAAUCGGUCGAAACCCGGAGGGUGUGAAGGAAAAUCCAGGUCGUAGUCCUCGUCUUCGGUGUUCACAACCUUGGUGGGGACGGAGCCGGUGCUUGAGUUGGUGCUGGAAACCUGGCCGUCCCGUAGCUCUCGGAUGGUCACCAUGUUGACAUGGUGACGAUUGUUCCUUGUCGGCGACCAGCCCGCUUUGCUGAAAACGGAUUGGACAUGCUGUGAGUAAACAGAGGCCGAGUUGUUCAGGCCGCAAGGAUAGUCUUCCUUUUUGAGCUCGACGGAUCGUCCUGAGAGGGUUGAGGUUAUCGUCAGGGACGUUCCCAGCCGUUCGUGUGUGGCGACACGAGUUGGCCGGCGGAAUUUUGAAAAAUCCGCUCGAGCAGCUUGGUCGGACCGGCGCAGAACUCCAUCUAUUAGUUGGGAGACUUCGAGUAGCUUGGAGUCAGCGCGAUCGAGCGCUUGGAGGAGGUCCGAGCAGUCGAUCUCCUUUCCCUUGUAGAGCGGGAACGGUGGUCGGGAGCUUGGUGCCGUCAUGCGUGUGGUCGGAGACGGCGUGAUCUCAGAUUGGAUCUGGAUCUCUUUCGGAACCGUGGUCGCGAAACCGCCGCUGCACGUCGUCCACGUGAUCUGGCCGACGGUGAACGUGAGGCCUUCGGGCACGGUCGCGGAAGCUGGGAUCGUGACCAUCUUGUUCGCCGGAAAAGUUGCACGCACACCCCCUACCUGGCGCGCCACUGUCGACGAAAGCUAGUCGGCAGUCUACCUUGGGGUAUACCCUCGGCAGUAGUUUAUCGGUAGACGGUGCGCAAACUACGAACUCGAUGGUGACGCAAGACACGGACAAGCUUUUUAUCCAGGUUCGGCCGCCGAGUUGGCGUAAUACCUACGUCCUGCGUCUGGUUGUAUUGAUUUGUGCUGAGAGGAUCUGAUGUCUUAGGGGGGUCCCUUGCCCCUCCUUAUAUAGUCCGGAGGGUAGGGCUACAGAGCUAGAAACUAAUCCUAGUCGGUUACAACUGCCGUAGAUAAUUCGAUAUCAAUUCCUAUUCUAACUGACUAGAAUCCUGCUUGAUCUCCACGUCUUGUUUCCUUGCGCGAAACUCGGGCUGUCGGAUCAAGCCUUGAACUCGUCUCGUAGUGGGCC